CGGUGUGUUUCACAUUUUAAGUGUCUAAGUGAGCAAAAAGGCUUAUAUUAUUCACUGGAGUUGCUAUUUAGAUAUUUAAUAAUUAAGUUUUGGGCAUAUUUGUCCACCCGUUCAGUUUUUCAAAUUAUCUAUUACAUCAGUAAUUUAUUUCGUCAGGAUAACUACCAAAUAUGGUAAUGGCCCUCGGCUAAACACAGAGCCAAUCCGCCAUUUUUUUCAUCUCGCUAAGAUUUUUUGUAGUCCUAUUGGAAAAAUGCAGAAUGUCUGGUUAUUUUAGCCACACACAGCUCAAAACUGUUCCUCGUUUUAAGGAAGGGUGGUGUGGCAGUAUUUAAACCCAGGAGCUGAUGACACUACUGCUAAAAAAAAACAGAAGAAAAAGUAGUGUGUGUGUGUGUUUGUGUGUGUGUGUGUGCGUGCGCGCGCGCGCGUGGUUCGUUCGUGUCUCCUGGCUAGUAAGUACCGAGGGCUUCAUCUAUCUAAAAGGAGUCAUUUCCAUCUGAAUGUGACAGCACCGGGACACAGCAGCAGAGCGGUAAGCUUCAUAUAACUCUAAAAUGUCGACAAACUUUACUUUAGGUUUACGGGCAUUAGCAGCACUAAAGCGUUAGCAUCCGGCUUGCUAUCGCUAGCACAGUAUGCUAGUAAAGUUAGCACCCAGAUUAAUGUGGAUUUGGCUGAUUUUUGUGGAAUAAAACGUGAUUUCUGAUCAACGCCUUCUUUUACACCAGAUGUACAUCCACUGAUUGUAGCAGCAGAGAGCCUGUGUGUUAUUUUACGUGAGUGUGAUGUAAUCUUAGCAUCCAGUAAAUAAAGUCCCAGUAAAUAAAGUCCCAUAUCAGCUAAAAUGCAGCGUGACAAAGUCAUUAAAGUGCGUCAACACAGUGGAUUUAAUAGAGUUUUAAAGAACAAUCUCUGAGUGAAGUGAGGUUAAUUUUUUGUCUCACUGCAGAUAUAAAAACGAACUCUGCAUCAGUCAGACGCAGCAAAGCUCACCGUCUGUAUGAGCGUGAGCAUCGGAAAGCUGAUCAAAUCAGCUGUAAAAUAAUUAAAACAAAGUAAAAAUGUUCCUUUGCUUUUUACAGUCCACAUCCAGAAGGCUGGAGCCGUGUUUCACUGACAGGCUGUCAGACUAAAGCCCUGAUGAGCUCAGCUGGGACAAACUGGUCUGAUGUUUAGGAACACAGAACGCUCAGAUGUUGGAGCUUCAUGUCACCUACUGAGGAAGGAGACCCACCAGUAAAGAGAUGGUCUGGACCAGACCAAAAAUAUGGCGAUGACAUCAUGGAACUGGUCUUUGGAAAAGUUUUCCCUGAACCAACUCCGUUUCUAGAUGAGGUAGAGAAGAUCUGCAUCUCACCAACUCUCUGGUCUCAGUAUUCAGACAACGGAGGUCUCCCACUGUUAUCCAGGACCAGUUUGAAGCCCACAUACUGCCCCUCCCUCAUCAUCAGGAAACAUCAGUUCCUAUCCUGAGGACAACAGAAGACGGCAGGAGGACAGGAACUCUGAGACCUAGACACAACCAGCACCGAGACACAAAGCACCUGUGUGCACAACGCCUGUUUAACUACUAAAACCUGUUUAUUAUAUUGUUCUACUUAUUUGCUGUGAGGUUAAUACUUAGAAAAUUUGUAUAUUAAUGUAAACAAUUUAAAAAAAUCACUGAUUGUAUGUUUUCUUUUAGAUGUAAUGGUCCAAACUCAGCCUUGUAGACAUUUAUUGCAUCCUGUAGGUAAAUACACAGAACAGGCUCAGAUCCAGGAUGACCCAGCAUGCUCUUCUUCCAUUCUGGCUGUUAGGGAUUGUAUCAAUAACUCAAUGCCUACUGAUGUUUCCACCUAACGGUAUUUAUUUAGAAUGCAGGUAAGAUUUAACUAUAUUUGUUAGCAAAGCAGACUGAUCUUGGGAAUUUCACUGCAGCACUGAUGUCCACCUCUGUGUACACAUUAGAGAGAAUUACCACGUUACAGCUAAAUGCAUAUUUAAUAAAGAUAUAGGCUACACAUUGCAGACAAUAAAAACAAAGUUCUAAGCAUUAGAAUUAUAAUGAUCACAUUAAAGAACAUUUGGAGGAAUGUUCUUUAUUUUUGACUAGAAUCUCAAAUCUUUAAAUUAAAAUGUAACUGCUUUUUAUCCAUUUUCAGCCAUUAAGACACCCAAUAUUAAAUAAGACUACUUAUAAAAUU